AGUGAACGCUGGCGGCAGGCCUAACACAUGCAGGUCGAACGGCAGCACAGUAAGAGCUUGCUCUUACGGGUGGCGAGUGGCGGACGGGUGAGGAAUACAUCGGAAUCUACUUUUACGUGGGGGAUAACGUAGGGAAACUUACGCUAAUACCGCAUACGACCUACGGGUGAAAGCAGGGGAUCUUCGGACCUUGCGCGAUUGAAUGAGCCGAUGUCGGAUUAGCUAGUUGGCGGGGUAAAGGCCCACCAAGGCGACGAUCCGUAGCUGGUCUGAGAGGAUGAUCAGCCACACUGGAACUGAGACACGGUCCAGACUCCUACAGGAGGCAGCAGUGGGGAAUAUUGCGCGAUGGGCGCAAGCCUGAUCCAGCCAUACCGCGUGGGUGAAGAAGGCCUUCGGGUUGUAAAGCCCUUUUGUUGGGAAAGAAAAGCAGCAGGUUAAUCCCCCACUGUUCUGACGGUACCCAAAGAAUAAGCACCGGCUAACUUCGUG
rnacentral:rRNA from 1 species